AUCAUAAUUUGGCAUUUGUCCUGACUCACUCUGGUUUCCCAAUUAACCCAUAGAGUGGCUCUGACAUUGACAAGUAAAAGUAGGGCAGUACCAAGCAAGAUGUAUGGAAAUUGAAGACACAAAAGCUGGAUUAAUUAUUUGAACUUCUUCAAUACAGUAGAAUUAUUAACAGUGAAUAAUUUUAAAUUAACACUAAAAUUAUUGUGAUUAAUUAAGUGUACAUGAUGUAGUGGAGCAUGUGUUAACUUAAUAGUCUUAAUUAAUUAACAUUAACUUACGGUAAUAAAGGUUUAUACUUUAUCAUCACCAUAAUCUAUAGACAUUUUCAAAUUUUGCUUGGGGUGGGGGUGUGCAGAAAAAUUCAGGGGUGGAAAGUGAGCACAUGGUGUGCUGAGUAAGAUGCAGCAGGGUCUACCAGGGCACAGAAUAGGAAGUUAUACCAGAAGCGUAACUCUAGUCGUUUCCCUUAUUGUUUGACGUCCACGAAAAUUUUAACUCGCUCACGCUAGCUCACGUCAGGCCAUGCCAUCCUGGCUAGUACAGCCGGAAGUUUUUAUCAGGAUUUGGUAGGUACAAAGUGCCGGUUGUACUAGCCAGGAUGGCGUGAUUGAUG
rnacentral:lncRNA from 1 species